AUUGAACGCUGGCGGCAUGCCUUACACAUGCAAGUCGAACGGUAACAGGUCUUCGGAUGCUGACGAGUGGCGAACGGGUGAGUAAUACAUCGGAACGUGCCUAGUAGUGGGGGAUAACUACUCGAAAGAGCGGCUAAUACCGCAUGAGAUCUACGGAUGAAAGCAGGGGAUCGCAAGACCUUGUGCUACUAGAGCGGCGGAUGGCAGAUUAGGUAGUUGGUGGGAUAAAAGCUUACCAAGCCGACGAUCUGUAGCUGGUCUGAGAGGACGAUCAGCCACACUGGGACUGAGACACGGCCCAGACUCCUACGGGAGGCAGCAGUGGGGAAUUUUGGACAAUGGGCGCAAGCCUGAUCCAGCAAUGCCGCGUGCGGGAUGAAGGCCUUCGGGUUGUAAACUGCUUUUGUACGGAACGAAAAGCCCUGGGUUAAUACCCUGGGGUCAUGACGGUACCGUAAGAAUAAGCACCGGCUAACUACGUGCCAGCCGCCGCCGUAAGAC
rnacentral:rRNA from 1 species